AACGAACGCUGGCGGCAUGCCUAACACAUGCAAGUCGAACGAGACCUUCGGGUCUAGUGGCGCACGGGUGCGUAACGCGUGGGAACCUGCCCUUAGGUUCGGCUUAACUCCCCGAAUGAGGUGCUAAUACCGGAUCUUAUCUCGCGACCAAAGUUUGAUCGCGUUUGGGUGGGCCGGCGUUGUAUUACCUAGUUGGUAGGCUAAAAGCGUUCAAAAGCGUGGAUCGAUAGCUGGGUUGAGAGGAUGAUCAGCCACACUGGGACUGGGACACGGCCCAGACUCCUACGGGAGGCAGGAGUGGGGAAUAUUGCACAGCCGGCUAUAGGCAGAUCCACUUAGGACGCGUGAGUGAUGAAGGCCGUAAGGUUGGAAAGCACUUUUACCCCGGAUGAUAAUGACAGUACCGGCAGAAUAAGCACCGGCUAACUCCGUG
rnacentral:rRNA from 1 species